GUAGAGUCUGACAGAGGGAGGUAGUAUGUAGGGUUGAAUAGAGGGAGGUAGUAUGUAGUCCCUGAGAGAGGGAGGUAGUAUGUAGGGUCUGAUAGCGGGAGGUAGUAUGUAGGGUCUGAUAGAGGGAGGUAGUAUGUAGGGUCUGAUAGAGGGAGGUAGUAUGUAGUCCCUGAUAGAGAGAGGUAGUAUGUAGAGUCUGAUAGAGGGAGGUAGUAUGUAGGGUCUGAUAGAGGGAGGUAGUAUGUAGGGUCUGAGAGAGGGAGGUAGUAUGUAGUCCAUGACAGAGGGAGGUAGUAUGUAGGGUCUGAUAGAGGGAGGUAGUAUGUAGGGUCUGAGAGAGGGAGGUAGUAUGUAGUCCCUGAUAGAGGGAGGUAGUAUGUAGGGUCUGAGAGAGGGAGGUAGUAUGUAGGGUCUGAGAGAGGGAGGUAGUAUGUAGGGUCUGAGAGAGGGAGGUAGUAUGUAGGGUCUGAUAGAGGGAGGUAGUAUGUAGUCCCUGACAGAUGGAGGUAGUAUGUAGUCCCUGAUAGAGGGAGGUAGUAUGUAGGGUCUGAUAGAGGGAGUUAGUAUGUAGGGUCUGAUAGAGGGAGGUAGUAUGUAGGGUCUGAGAGAGGGAGGUAGUAUGUAGGGUCUGAUAGACACUACCCUCUGCAACUGGAUCCUGGACUUCCUGACGGGCCGACCACAGGCUGUGAGGAUUGGCAACAACACCUCCUCCACACUGACUCUUAACACAGGGGGCCCCCCAGGGAUGUGUCCUUAGUCCUCUGCUGUACUUCCUGUUCACCCACGACCGAAUGGCUUUGCAGGACACCAACUCCAUCAUCAAGUUUGC
rnacentral:lncRNA from 1 species